GGUCCCGUAUUUCAAUGGAUAGAAUUUGAGAUUCCGAUUCUCAAGAUGUAGGUUCGAUUCCUACCGGGACUACCA
rnacentral:tRNA from 1 species